rnacentral:rRNA from 1 species
GACGAACCGUGCGAACGUUGUUCGGAAUCACUGGGCAUAAAGGGCGCGUAGGCGGCUUAUCAAGUCAGGGGUGAAAUCCGGCAGCUCAACUGUCGAAGUGCCUUUGAUACUGAUGAGCUAGAGGGAGAUAGGGGUAUGGCGGAACUUCCGGUGGAGCGGUGAAAUGCGUUGAUAUCGGAAGGAACGCCGGGUGGCGAAAGCGGCGUACUGGAUCUCUUCUGACGCUGAGGCGCGAAAGCUAGGGGAGCAAACGGG